AUGAACGCUGGCGGCGUGCUUAACACAUGCAAGUCGAACGAUGAACCAGGUGCUUGCACUUGGGGAUUAGUGGCGAACGGGUGAGUAACACGUGAGUAACCUGCCCCUGACUUCAGGAUAAGCCCGGGAAACUGGGUCUAAUACUGGAUAUGACUAUUGACCGCAUGGUUGGUGGUGGAAAGAUUUAUUGGUUGGGGAUGGACUCGCGGCCUAUCAGCUUGUUGGUGAGGUAAUGGCUCACCAAGGCGACGACGGGUAGCCGGCCUGAGAGGGUGACCGGCCACACUGGGACUGAGACACGGCCCAGACUCCUACGGGAGGCAGCAGUGGGGAAUAUUGCACAAUGGGCGAAAGCCUGAUGCAGCGACGCCGCGUGAGGGAUGACGGCCUUCGGGUUGUAAACCUCUUUCAAUAGGGAAAAAGCCGAAUGGUGACGGUACUUGCAAAUAAGCGCCGGCUAACUACGUGCCAGCAGCGCGUAUACGUAGGGCGCGAGCGUAUCUGGAUUUAUUGGGCGUAAAGAGCUCGUAGCGUUUGUUCGCGUCUGCCGUGAAAGACCAGAGCUCAACCCUGGUUCUGCGGUGGGUACGGGCAGACUAGAGUGAUGUAGGGGAGACUGGAAUUCCUGGUGUAGCGGUGAAAUGCGCAGAUAUCAGGAGGAACACCGAUGGCGAAGGCAGGUCUCUGGGCAUUUACUGACGCUGAGGAGCGAAAGCAUGGGGAGCGAACAGGAUUAGAUACCCUGGUAGUCCAUGCCGUAAACGUUGGGCACUAGGUGUGGGGGACAUUCCACGUUUUCCGCGCCGUAGCUAACGCAUUAAGUGCCCCGCCUGGGGAGUACGGCCGCAAGGCUAAAACUCAAAGGAAUUGACGGGGGCCCGCACAAGCGGCGGAGCAUGCGGAUUAAUUCGAUGCAACGCGAAGAACCUUACCAAGGCUUGACAUGUUCCAGACCGCUCCAGAGAUGGGGUUUCCCUUCGGGGCUGGUUCACAGGUGGUGCAUGGUUGUCGUCAGCUCGUGUCGUGAGAUGUUGGGUUAAGUCCCGCAACGAGCGCAACCCUCGUUCCAUGUUGCCAGCACGUAGUGGUGGGGACUCAUGGGAGACUGCCGGGGUCAACUCGGAGGAAGGUGGGGAUGACGUCAAAUCAUCAUGCCCCUUAUGUCUUGGGCUUCACGCAUGCUACAAUGGCCGGUACAAUGGGUUGCGAUACUGUGAGGUGGAGCUAAUCCCUAAAAGCCGGUCUCAGUUCGGAUUGGGGUCUGCAACUCGACCCCAUGAAGUCGGAGUCGCUAGUAAUCGCAGAUCAGCAACGCUGCGGUGAAUACGUUCCCGGGCCUUGUACUCACCG
rnacentral:rRNA from 1 species